AUUGAACGCUGGCGGCAGGCCUAACACAUGCAAGUCGAACGAGUGGCGGACGGGUGAGUAAUGUCUGGGAAACUGCCUGAUGGAGGGGGAUAACUACUGGAAACGGUAGCUAAUACCGCAUACCAUCGGAUGUGCCCAGAUGGGAUUAGCUAGUAGGUGGGGUAACGGCUCACCUAGGCGACGAUAGCUAGCUGGUCUGAGAGGAUGACCAGCCACACUGGAACUGAACAACGGUCCAGACUCUUACGGAGGGCAGCAGUGGGGAAUAUUGCACAAUGGUCGCAAGCCUGAUGCAGCCAUGCCGCGUGUAUGAAGAAGGCCUUCGGGUUGUAAAGUACUGUAAGCGGGGAGGCGUUACCCGCAGAAGAAGCACCGGCUAACUCCGUGCCAGCAGCCGCGGUAAUAC
rnacentral:rRNA from 1 species